rnacentral:lncRNA from 1 species
UGGUAGCUUGUUAAAUUAGUUAGGUUAGUUAGUUAACUUGGUUAGUUAGGUGGAGGAGGAGAAGAGGAGAAGAGGAGGAGGAGGAGGACGAGAAGAGGAGAAGAAGAAGAGGAGUAGGAGGAGGAGGACGAGGAGAAGAAAAAGAAGAAGAAGAAGAAGAAUAAGAAGAAUAAGAAGAAGAAGAAGAAGAAGAAGAAGAGGAGAAGAAAAAAAUAAGGAGAAGAAGAAGAAGAAGAUAAGAAAAAAAUAAGAAGGAGAAGAAGUAAACAAGAAGAGAAGAAGAGAAUAAGAAAAAAAUA